rnacentral:lncRNA from 1 species
GUUAAUGCUCCGACACACAUGCCACAUGUUUUGUUGGCUAAGCAUCCUGUAUCCUUUCAUUUCUGUUUUGAGUUGGGAGCCAUUUGAAUAUAAUAACAUUUUCUGCAUUUAUUUCAACAUGCCUUUAUUACAGAACUAUAAUGAGCUUGAGGUUUAGGGAUGUUAGUUCCUGAUGGUACAUGGAAAUAUGGCUGCAGUUCACUCUAAGCGCAAUUGUAUAUGUGUGUUUGUUCUCAAAGUACAGCAGUCCUACAGAGAAGGCAACCAUGAGCUCUUUGUGGCUGAUACCUACCAGGAGGGCACACAAGGAGGACACAGGAGGCUUCAGGCUGCCAACACCCCAUCAUAGGAGAAGGAAAUUUCUUUAGGUCAGCUACAGCAAGAGUCCUCUGCCUGGGCUGACCCGUGGACAGAAGGAAACUACUUUCUAGAGUAGGCAUAACAAUUCUUAUCAUUCCAGGCCACUAAAUGGGAAAUUACAGGAACAGAAUUAGUGUAGAUGUCCUUGGUAGUCUAGAUCAGCUUUA